AUGAAGAGGCUAGUGGGCUCUGUGCUGGGGCUUCUGUUUGCCCAGAUUUGCUGUGUGAAAGGGGAAGAUGUGAAGCAGAGUCCCCCAGCCCUGAGUCUCCAGGAGGGAGCCAGCUCCAUGCUUUGGUGUAAUUUUUCCACCGUUCCACGGAAUGUGCAGUGGUAUCUUCAGAACCCUGGGGGCCCCCUCACCCACCUGUUUUCCAUUCCUUCAGGGACAAGGCAGAAUGGAAGAUUAAAUGCCACGACAGACACUAAAAAACGGUGCAGCUCACUGUACAUUUCCUCUUCCCAGACCACAGACUCAGCCACUUACUUCUGUGCUGUGGAGCACAGUGCUCCCCAGGCACCUGCAGCCUGUGCACAAAUCCUCAGCGGGGCUCAACCCCUCCUCCAGCCACUGUCACACCCUGAGGCCACCACACCGUGUUUACAAUUCUUAGUUUUCCUUACCUACAUCAGUACAGUUUUAACCACAUACACUUUUUGGCCCUACAGAUUUGGGACUUUGGUCUUUUUCUUCCAUUCUCAAUAUAUAUCUCCUUCUGCACUAGAAACUUCUAACUUGGAGCUAGCAGAGUAG